GAUACUAGCUGUCCGGGUCCUUGAGACUUGGGCGGCCAAGCGAAAGUGAUAAGUAUCCCACUUGGGGAGUACGUUCGCAAGAUUGAAACUCAAAGGAAUUGACGGGGGCCCGCACAAGCGGUGGAGCAUGUGGUUUAAUUCGAUGAUACGCGAGGAACCUUACCAGGGCUUAAAUGCAUAUUGACAGGGGUAGAGAUACCUUUUCCUUCGGGCAAUUUGCAAGGUGCUGCAUGGUUGUCGUCAGCUCGUGCCGUGAGGUGUCAGGUUAAGUCCUAUAACGAGCGCAACCCCUACCGUUAGUUGCCAGCGAGUCAUGUCGGGGACUCUAACGGGACUGCCGGUGCAAACCGUGAGGAAGGUGGGGAUGACGUCAAAUCAUCACGGCCCUUACGUCCUGGGCCACACACGUGCUACAAUGGCCGGUACAGAGAGCAGCCAUCUGGCAACAGAGAGCGAAUCUACAAAACCGGUCACAGUUCGGAUCGGGGUCUGCAACUCGACCCCGUGAAGCUGGAAUCGCUAGUAAUCGGAUAUCAGCCAUGAUCCGGUGAAUACGUUCCCGGGCCUUGUACACACCGCCCGUC
rnacentral:rRNA from 1 species